UAUAUCUACAUCCAAUAUAUUUGAUCAAAAUAAAGCCUCGUGAGCUUCUAUACCGUAAUUCACAUUUCCAAUCCUGAUCAAGAAAACGCUUACGAUAAGAUGUGGUAGAUAAGCAUAUGCAAGAGUCUGGAUGACCAAGACUUUAACAGACUUCCGCCAAAUUUGAGCCCGCCAUCGACAACAUGAGCAGGAAAAGAGUGGCAAAGUGAUGAAAACGAAGAUCCUGAAGCUAAUACAGCCAGAAAAACGGAUAGUGACGAUUGAACUAAGGAAAAUAUAAAAUGCUGAAAUUAAAAGGAAGAAAAAAGAAAUUCAAGCCGAAAACAAGAAGAAAUAAAGAAGCAAUAAUAGACUCAAACCAGCAAUCUUUGCAAAUGCAAGAAUGUAGAACCCAGCAGUAAUUACGUGCCCGAGUCCUGCAGUUCGAAUGUUCCAGUACUCGUCGGCAACACUUCUGGACCUAGCAGUAUGCUUAAGACUACUACAUCAAUCAGCAACACACCUGUACCAGUCAGCAACUUGAAAGAACCCUGCUAUACUCGUGUGUCUGUGCCAUACAAUAACUCAGUUGUACUUAAUGGUCAAGAUGUGUUAACCUCUGUCAGCAACACCUCAGUACCUUGCAGUUAAAAUAAGCCUGUGCCAGUAAGCAACUCGAAAGAACCCUACUGUCAUACUCGUGUGCUUGUGCCAAAUAACAAAAUUUCGAAUGUAAUUCUUUGAGAUUUAUUUUUAAUCAACUGCUCUAAUAAUGAUGACUGUGCUAUUCAAAAUCUCAACACUCUUAGCCUAUGGUCUUUUCCCAAAGAUUGAGUGUUUGAUGAUUUGUGGAUUCAAAGGAGAGUAUAUAUAUACAUUAUUUGCUGUGGUUAGGAAUUACCAUAGUGCUUAACAGUAAUCUUAUUACAGUUUAUUUCUAGUCAUCAUGAUCUAUUGUUUUAAAAUAUUAAUUAAGCUCUGAUUUUAAUUGUAUAAUUUCAUUUUGAUUAUGUUUAUAACCUAAAUUCAAAUCUUUGUCAGAAAUUAAUCUGUUAUGUUAAUAAAUAUUUUGCUUUUUACAUAUCUAUUCGCAUGGGGGGAAAAUGGAUGCGCAUCGAUGGGCUGAUAUAAUUUUUUAUCUUUCUAUUUCAAAUUGGUAUAAUUGUCAAUUUUGUGAACUAUUACAUGGUAACUAUUGUAAGUUUCAUAUAAUGUCCAAAAAUUGUUACAGAUAUAGCACCCCCUUGUAAUUAACCUUUUACAAAUUUACUCUAUGGGACAUAAACUGACAAAUCAUUGGAAAAAAUUCAACUCUACUCCAUGAAAUGUAUUUGAAUUUUAAUAUCACAUGUAUAAUGUGUCUAUUUUUUAUCAUUUUAAAAAAAUUUUUGCAUCCUUAGGAUCAUUAUGAAUUUGUGUUAAUUACUUAUUGAACUACAUAUUACAUAUAUUAGAAAUAUUUAAAACUACUAUACAUCUGUAUAAUCUCCUUUGUUAGUUAUGUGAUUAUUAUUGAAUGUACUUGUCAACUGAUGAAAAAUUUAAGCUGUUACACAGGCAUAAUUAUGUAUUGUUAAAUACAGUUCCAAUUUUCAAAUACCUGUC